CUUCAACUGGGAUAAUGAAGAUGGGCAUACACUAACAUUAAGUUUUCCAUGAGGGUAAUUUUUCUGGACAGCAGCGCUACAGCCUUGUCUUAUAUCGAAUUCCAAAUGCCAAGGUUCUUUUACGUGUACAUUAAUGUAUACACCGGACCUUGGUUUUGCUUUGCAUCCAAAUGACUAUACAUAUUGUCCCUUUUCAGGCCACAGCACCAUGGGGAAAUACGCAGGGAUCAAAUACAGGAUCUCCAGAAUUACCAUUUGUUUGUAAAAUUAUUAAAGAUGGCUGCCUCUGGUAUUAAUGAACACAUGGAAGCUAGAAGAAAACAAAAAUUCCUUGAUAUGCAGGCUAGCAAGAAAAAACAAUUCAUUGAUGCGUAUAAUUCCAACCCUGAUAAUAUAUUGCUAGAACAGAUGGAUCAGGUCCAGCAGAUGUCUUACAACAUGGAAGGAGAUGGUAUUAGAAAAGUUGGAAGUCCUCCAGGAAUCACAGACAAAGAUAUACAGAAGUACAGAACAGGAAAAACAAAGUUGGUUGUUUACUCGGCCAAGUUGCCUGAUAGGCUCUCGUCAACCAACUAUUCACAGCAAUGGUGAUAUUGUUGUCCUGAUUAACAAGCUUGUGUCUUUCGUAUUGUUGUCUUGAUUAACCAGCUCACAUCUUUUGUAUUAAGUAUUGUUGUCCAGUCUUAACAUAAACAGAAUCAAACUAUGAUGCAUUUAUGAUCUUUUAUUCAUAUGUUUGCAUCCUUUAUUGCGUAUACCAUUGAUAGUAUUGCAUGCCCGUGUUUUGCAUGCCCCCGUAUACCAUUGAUAGUAUUGCAUGCCCACGUAUUGCAUGCCCCCGUAUACCAUUGAUAGUAUUGCAUGCCCCCUUAUCCCCUUAUACCAUUGAUAGUAUUGCAUACCCACGUAUACCAUUGAUAGUAUUGCAUGCCCACGUAUACCAUUGAUCUAUUUUUGAGCUUUUAAUCAAAAUCUAUUUAUCUUCCAUAUUUAUGUCUCUGUCCCACAUUUAUCAACUGUUACUUAUAUUUGUAUAUGAAUACAUUCACUGUUAUAGUUGUCUUGUUUUUGUAAUAUAUACAUAUUUAGUUUUUGACAUUUUAAUGUUUUACUUUUUCGAUUAGCUGUACAACUUGGAAAAUAAAUUUUUAAGUACCAUUUUUACGAUAAUAAACCAACUCUCGAUUUUCAUUUGUAAUGUUUAAUGAAGAUAUGUCAGUUUUCCAUAUGGCGGACAUUGUGUAAUCCACCUAAUAUCCCGGCUAUUCGAUGAUCUAGAGAGAUGAUUAUGGGCUUGUCAUGUGAAUAAAAAAUGUUUAAAUAGUAGUUUAUAUAACAUUUAAGUGAGAAAACGACCUGCAAUAGACAGAUUUAGCACUAACAAUAAUAUAUCUAUAUACAAACUGUCGAGUCAUCAGUUUUAUAUUUAUAUAAUGGUGUGAACUAUUGAGUCAUCAGUUUAUAUAAUGGUGUAAAAUGAUUUCUACCAAUUUUAUCAGUAUUAUUUAUCUUGAAUAUUCUCAUUUUAUGAAUUUUGUUUUUUGAUUUUCUGAUGUGAAGCAUUCAUAUAAUUUAGCUUUAAUUUAACCAUGAAUAAAU